UUAAGCCACUGAACAGACAAUCAUAUGUAAGGUGAACGUACAACGUUAUUUAAAUGUAAUUUAAGCUCCAUUUUUUUUAGUACAUUCAUAAAAUAAACUCACUAUUAAUUUUUUCUUAUUGUUAAAAGAGUUGUCCUUUAUUUCUAAAUAAGGUUUCUUCCAAAUAGAGAUAAAACAAAAAGUCAAUCUUCAUUCAAAAGUGUGGUCUUCCAGUAAAAAACAGGUUAUGGAAUUUCUUCAGAACAAAGAAUAUUUCUUUCCUUCUUGAUCUUAUUCUGGUGGUUCAGAGUCCGCCUCCUGAAGCAAAGCAUUUUGGUACAGAAUUAUGCCACACCAUAACUUUGGGUGCGAAGCGGGGCUAAUAAGCCCGUGCUGUGGCAUGGGGGAGAUAUCACCCUGUCACUUCCUGCUCUCCCACCAGCUGAAGGCACGUACCAGUGGGCCCACCUCGUGGGUGGUCCUCCCCCGCCAGAUCCUUUCGUGGAUCCUCUCAGCUACAGACCCAUCAGGACUAUGUUUUUUGAUCUGACGACAGAUCGUUUUCUUCAAGUCUCUUUUCAGAGCUCAGUCAGCUGUUGUGGACUUUUCCUCUUCUUUGUUUAACUGUGGUUAUCAAAAAGACUUUUUGAGCACAGCACUGACCUCUUUUGGAUCAAGUUCAAUGUGAAUCGAUUCCCA